rnacentral:rRNA from 1 species
UAGCGGCGAGUGAGCGGCAAGAGCUCAGAUUUGAAAUCGUGUUUCGGCACGAGUUGUAGAGUGUAGGCGGGAGUCUCUGUGGAGCGCGGUGUCCAAGUCCCUUGGAACAGGGUGCCUGAGAGGGUGAGAGCCCCGUAGGGUGCUGCGCGAAGCUUUUGAGGCCCUGCUGACGAGUCGAGUUGUUUGGGAAUGCAGCUCCAAGCGGGUGGUAAAUUCCAUCUAAGGCUAAAUAUUGGCGAGAGACCGAUAGCGAACAAGUACUGUGAAGGAAAGAUGAAAAGCACUUUGAAAAGAGAGUGAAACAGCACGUGAAAUUGUUGAAAGGGAAGGGUAUUGGGCUCGACAUGGGGGGUGCGCACCGCUGUCUCUUGUAGGCGGCGCUCUGGGCGCCCUCUGGGCCAGCAUCGGUUCCUGCUGCGGGAGAAGGGGCUCCGGAAAGUGGCUCUUCGGAGUGUUAUAGCCGGGGCCAGAUGCCGCGUGUGGGGACCGAGGACUGCGGCUUCUGUCUCGGAUGCUGGCAUAACGGCGCAAUACCGCCCGUCUU